rfam:Bacillus cereus subsp. cytotoxis NVH 391-98, complete genome.
GUGAUAAACUAGGGGUGCCCAAUGUAUGCGUGGGCUGAGAGAGAAGUACGCAAACUUCUUAACCCUUUGGACCUGAUCUGGCUCGUACCAGCGUAGGGAAGUUAAUGGCUUUACAU